UAAGGAAUUAAGAUAAAAUCAAUCAUCUUCAGUUUUGAAAGACUUAGAAAUUAAGUCUUUCUUCGUGACUUUACGAAGGGCCUAUAGCUCAGUCGGUUAGAGCACACGCCUGAUAAGCGUGAGGUCGGUGGUUCAAAUCCAUUUAGGCCCACCAGAGUUAUAGGUUUCGUUAAAAACACAAAUUCUUUGAAAAUUAGGUAAAUAAAUAGUUAUUUAUCGGAACAUU
rnacentral:misc_RNA from 1 species